rnacentral:rRNA from 1 species
AUUGAACGCUGGCGGCAGGCCUAACGCAUGCAAGUCGAGCGGCAGCGGGAAAGUAGCUUGCUACUUUUGCCGGCGAGCGGCGGACGGGUGAGUAAUGCCUGGGAAAUUGCCCAGUCGAGGGGGAUAACAGUUGGAAACGACUGCUAAUACCGCAUGCGCCCUACGGGGGAAAGCAGGGGACCUUCGGGCCUUGCGCGAUUGGAUAUGCCCAGGUGGGAUUAGCUAGUUGGUGAGGUAAUGGCUCACCAAGGCGACGAUCCCUAGCUGGUCUGGGAGGAUGAUCAGCCACACUGGAAAUGAGACACGGUCCAGACUCCUACGGGAGGCAGCAGUGGGGAAUAUUGCACAAUGGGGGAAACCCUGAUGCAGCCAUGCCGCGUGUGUGAAGAAGGCCUUCGGGUUGUAAAGCACUUUCAGCGAGGAGGAAAGGUCAGUAGCUAAUAUCUGCUGACUGUGACGUUACUCGCAGAAGAAGCACCGGCUAACUCCGUGCCAGCAGCCGCCGUAACAC